GCUUCCUCGGUUGCAGUUCUCUUGCUUCUUUUCUCGCGCGUGCGUGCAGCGCCUUUGUACAGCCGUGGACCUGGAGUGACCUUACAGACUGCGGGCCUGAGAGUCCACAGAUACUUGUCAGGCGACAGGCAGUCAGUCUACCGUUGGAGGUAAACAAAUUGGGGUCCAGCUUAAGCUAGAAAAAAAAACGUCUUGCUAAACUCCAGACAACGGAAUGUGCCUCUUGAGAUCAUGUGUUGGAUACACGUGUACUUAAAACAGCCCCGCCACUGUGUAGAGCUCUUGCAGUACGUCAACGCUUUACCAGAGCGGUUGCACUUUAGCCUCGGGACAGCCUUACGAGGAAAACUGCAGUUUGAUAUCUUAUGGGAUAGAAGGCUCCAUCUUUGAGGACAUUGGAUAUCCUGGAAAUUUUCUCGGAAGAUCUUCAUAGAAAGCCUGUUUAUUUUUAGGUCUAUUUCUAACAGGCUUUUUAAUGUGUAUUUUAUUCAGAAACACAGGCAUUGUACUAUAGAUGGAGGCUGACAGCCACAGAAGUGAGAACUGUUAGGUGUGGGAAUGUGACAAAAUUACAGUCAAUGGAAUGAGAAUGGAAGUGAUACCCACUACUGUGAACCUCCUUCAUAAGAAAAUAUCUCCUUCCAACAGACUGAAACAGAGAAGACCUGCAAGGAAAACUUGGAAGCUGGGUACUAAAGGACUAAUUACAGAAAGACAAUGGAAAAUAGGUAUUGAACUAUAUUUGUUUACUUUAGCAAGAAACAAAUAUGAGCCAUUAUUUUUUGUUGAUCUAUUUGGCAAUUAGCUUACCCUAAUUAAUUCAAUAUAUAAAACAUAUGCAAUGGCCCCAUGACAACUUCAGCGGGCACCAUUUCCAUUGUAAUGUAUGUAAGGAGCAAGGAUGUAGCUCAGAGGUACAGCGCUUACCUAGCAUGCUAGAAGCCCUGGGUUCAAUUCCCAGUUACUCAAAAACAAAACAAACAAAAACUAAUACAUUGUAAUGUUAUGUAAAGGAUUUCUUGAAGCACAGUUGAAAGACUCCAUGUAAAUAUAUUUGAAUAUUCUUUGCAGACGUAGUCAAUACUCUGGCUUGGCCAAACUGACUCUGACUUGUUUGUCGGUUGUAUUGUGGAUAAGCACCAAUUUGUGUAAAGGCAUACUUCUAUGGUAAAAAGAAAGAUGGAAUGGAUCAUCCAUUAAGACUUGUAGGGGGAAAAUGUAUACCUAGGAUCCAAAUCAGAUCUCCUAGGAUUUUUACAACAGUGAUGGUUACAAAUUCUUCUGAUAUCCUGUAGAGUGUUAUGAGUUUCCUCCCUCAAAAAGAAAACGCUUGCUGCUCUGAGUAGUACAGAUGUUUUUCUAAACUUAUCUGGGCAUCAUUUUCCUCAUUUAUAAAAUGAGAGAUUAUGUAGACCUCAGUGUUCCCUUUGUUCACUAAAAUUCUGCCAUCUAUGUAAUAUCCAGAGCUAUUGGGAGAAACAGUUUUUAGCAUAUGAGUGUUCCUUCAAAAUUCAAAUUGGUAUAACAGUAACUUGAAGUUUUAACAUCUUUAACUCUCAGCGAUGCACAUUAGGAAAUAGGCACAACAGAGUUCCUACUUGUCUUCCAAAUAAAACCUAUUAAAUUGCCAAGGUUUUUAACCCAGGAUUUUUAAGAGUAAUUUCAAAAGUAGUGUGCCACUUUCUGAUUUCUAUACUUUACUCAGUGGGUAGGGAAGGAUGCAGAAUGUGGUAGCUAUCGAAAUACUGAAUAUAGCAUAUUACAAAAAAGUCAAACCUCAAAAGUUAGAGGGCAGAUCAUAUAGUUUUUCACUGAGUUUACCAAUUAAAACCUUAAAAUUUUCUCUCUCCAUUUCCCUCAUCCCUUUUUUCAUCCAUCCCUUCCCCACUUCCAUGUUUGGCAAAGUCACAUUUUUGGUAUAGCCAGUAGAAAUUAUUCUUUGCCUAUUUGUUUGCUGGUGAAGUUUUAGUCUCAGGAAUUUCAUCUUUUUUCAAAGCUAAAAUCUACAUUAUCCAGAUUUUAUGCAGGCAUAGGAUUGGCUUUAACUCACAUUCUUUUGCUGCAGGAGAUCUACAAAAAUAUGAACCUUACUCAGGGAUGACACUGUUUUAGAAAGGAAAAAGGAUAGUUUCUAUAACAUCUAUCACAGUGAAGUUUUUCACAGUGAAGUGUAUGGGCUGGAAUAGACGAGAAGAAGGAAUUACACAAAACCCUUUUGGUUCCACAAGAGGAACAUGACAGAAAAGAGAACCAAUAACACUGUUUUGACUACUAGUAGUCAAGUAUACAUUCUACAAUAUAAUUGCAGAAAUUGAGGGUCAAUCUAAAUAUUUAAAAUGAGAGAAUGGAUAAAUUUUGGUAAAUACAUAUGUUGGAAUGCUAUACAGAUGUUGAAAACAUGUUUUCAAAAAUAUUCAGUCACAAGAGAAAAUGGUCAUUAUAAACUAUAUAAGAAAAACAGCAUAUAAACAUUUUGGUCAGUGGUGGACCCUGUAUAUGAUGGUGGUCCCAUAAGAUUGUAUUGCCUAAUCAUUUCAUAUCCCUGUCUUUAAAGUGAUGCAUGAUUAUAUGGUAUUAGUGUAUAAUAUUUAGUUUAAAUGCAAUAAGGAAACAUGAGUUAACAUUGGUUUUUCUCUGACUGUGGAAUAUUAUAAAGUGAUAGUACUUUUCUGUGGUUUCCAACAUUUCUCUCUCUCUCACUCUCUCUCUCUCUAUAUAUAUAUACAUAUUCAUAUAUAUACUUAUUUUAGUUGUAGUGGACACAAAACAUUUAUUUUAUUUUUAUGUGGUGCUGAGGAUUGAA